rnacentral:rRNA from 1 species
AGCACGCCGCGUGAGUGAAGAAGGUUUUCGGAUCUGUAAAACUCUGUUGUUAGAGAAGAACAAGUGGGAGAGUAACUGUUCCCACCUUGACGGUAUCUAACCAGAAAGCCACGGCUAACUAC